UACGUAGGGUGCAAGCGUUAUCCGGAAUUAUUGGGCGUAAAGAGCUCGUAGGCGGUUUGUCGCGUCUGCUGUGAAAACUGGAGGCUCAACCCCCAGCCUGCAGUGGGUACGGGCAGACUAGAGUGCGGUAGGGGAGAUUGGAAUUCCUGGUGUAGCGGUGGAAUGCGCAGAUAUCAGGAGGAACACCGAUGGCGAAGGCAGAUCUCUGGGCCGUAACUGACGCUGAGGAGCGAAAGCAUGGGGAGCGAACAGG
rnacentral:rRNA from 1 species